rnacentral:rRNA from 1 species
AGCGAACGCUGGCGGCAGGCCUAAUACAUGCAAGUCGAACGCCCCUUCGGGGGAGUGGCGGACGGGUGAGUAACGCGUGGGAACGUGCCCUUUGGUUCGGAACAACACAGGGAAACUUGUUCUAAUACCGAAUGUGCCCUUUGGGGGAAAGAUUUAUGGCCAUUGGAGCGGCCCGCGUCGGAUUAGCAAGUUGGGGGGGUAAUGGCCCACCAAGGCGACGAUCCAUAGCUGGUCUGAGAGGAUGAUCAGCCACACUGGGACUGAGACACGGCCCAGACUCCUACGGGAGGCAGCAGUAGGGAAUCUUGCGCAAUGGGCGAAAGCCUGACGCAGCCAUGCCGCGUGAAUGAUGAAGGUCUUAGGAUUGUAAAAUUCUUUCACCGGGGAAGAUAAUGACGGUACCCGGAGAAGAAGCCCCGGCUAACUACGUGCCAGCCGCCGCGGUAAUAC